rnacentral:lncRNA from 1 species
AGAGCUUCACUCGUUCGUAGGCCUUUGCAAAACCCACAUUGGGUAUCGUUAAUGUCUAUUUCUAGUUUAUGAUAUACUGAUAGAUAAUCUAUGGAAAUGUCCCGUUCUAAAAAGUAGUAACAAGAAAAAGAAGAAAAAGUUUUAGAAACAAUUCUCUUGUCAAUAAUUAGAUUUAAACUGACAAUAUGAUUCAAAAUAUAUAUAGAAUAAAACUAUCAAUAUGGAAAAAAGUUGGUUAUGUAUUGGUUAUACUCUUUAUACUACAUUCUUCGGCAAGUUUAGUUUACUCUAUGCAAGGACCAUAUAUUGAAGAUUUGAAUUUUGCGCUUAAAGUUAAUCUGUUUUUUCAAUCCAUGUUUUUGGUGCCUUGCAUACCAAUGGUAUGGGUGUUUUCUUAGGUAUUAUUUGUUGCUCUUUUGGAGUAUUGUUAUGGAAAAGAAUAUAUCGUUUGCAAUAUGAUGAAGACAUAUUUCAAACGUAUCCUUUUAGACGCUUUAAAGGUUUAUUGUAAUAGAUUAUGAGAUUAAAAUUAUUUUUAUGGUGUUACUUCAUUGUACAAUAUUAACUCGACAUCGUAUAGUUCUAAAAGUGAAAUUUCGUUUACAAAGUUUGAUAUUGGUAUAUUGGCAGAAGAUGAUAAACAAAAA